CAGUGGGGUCAAGAUGGUCGAUAGUGUUGCACAGCCCUGAACCAUGGAGGAAGGUUUUCUCUGGUCUCCCACCUUGCCCCAAAUCAUCCAUGAAGGCCUAGUGGAGCUUUAUGGAGAGGAGCUUCUGAGUCGUGGCAGCUCCCUUAUGUCUGCAACUCCCAGGGGAUCUGUGGGCUCGUGCCGGUCACACUUGAUGAGGAGACAGAAGCUCAGAAGGCUGAUUUGAUGAUAAUAAUAGUGACUAACUAUGGAGGGUCCACUAAGGGCCUGAAAUGUUCAUAAGCUACUUCUUCCAGAAUUGGAACCACAGGAUCUGUAGGUGCAGCAUACCCCGGGCAAACACCAACCCCAAACUAACUUGCUCACAAACCGAAGGCAAGCUCUGUUGUCGCGCGUGGUUUUUUGCACAAGACUUAAGAAGAGAUCGUCUUCUGUCUGCGCUGUCAUACAAGUCAAGGUGAUGCGUUUUGCCUUCCAAUAAACUCUCGGAAUAAUGACAACA